GAUGACACACAGGUGUUGAUGAAAGGGUGAAUGACCAAAUCCAAGCUUCUCUGCUAGUUCCUCAACAGUUACAAUGGGAUUUUAUUCCACCAGGUUUUUCAGGACAUCCUUGUUGAGCACUACAGAUCUUCCAGGACAAGGCUAAUCUUCUAGGCUGUAGUUUCCAGCUCGAAAUUUCUGGAACCAUUGUUGACACUGGCUUUAAUAUUCCU